GAAAUGCGAUAAGUAAUGUGAAUUGCAGAAUCCGUGAAUCAUCAAAUCUUUGAACGCACAUUGCACUUCCAGGUUAACUGGAAGUAUUCCUGUUUGAGUGUCUGUUCACCCCUCUCACUGAAUCUCAGUGGUCUCUGGGUCUUUUUAUGUGCACGAAUAGUGCAUGUUGACCUGAAGAUAAAGAUAUACGUCUAUAUAUCCACACAUCAGGAUAAAUACAAUUUAUUCGUGGAGUUAUAUAGUAUACUUUUAAACAUCAGACCUCAAAUCAGGAAAGGAAACCCCCUGAAUUUAA
rnacentral:misc_RNA from 1 species